rnacentral:rRNA from 1 species
GACGAACGCUGGCGGCGUGCUUAACACAUGCAAGUCGAGCGGUAAGGCCCUUUCGGGGGUACGACGAGCGGCGAACGGGUGAGUAACACGUGGGUGACCUGCCCUCCAGCUCUGGGAUAAGCCUGGGAAACCGGGUCUAAUACCGGAUAUGACUCCAUGACGCAUGUUGUGGGGUGGAAAGCCUUGUGCGGCUGAGGAUGGGCCCGCGGCCUAUCAGCUUGUUGGUGGGGUGAUGGCCUACCAAGGCGACGACGGGUAGCCGGCCUGAGAGGGCGACCGGCCACACUGGGACUGAGACACGGCCCAGACUCCUACGGGAGGCAGCAGUGGGGAAUCUUGCGCAAUGGGCGAAAAGCCUGACGCAGCGACGCCGCGUGAGGGAUGACGGCCUGGUGUAAC